ensembl:ncRNA lncRNA:CR45876 long non-coding RNA:CR45876
ACUUUCACUUUCAUCUCGAGCUGCUCAUUGACUUACAGGCGGAGUGACUGACUCACUGACUCGCCGCGGGAUUGACUGUCCCUAUUGUGUGCCCACUGUACAGUGUUCGCCACUCAGUGGCCGGCGCUUAACUUUUAUGAUUCCGGCCAGAGGAGAAUGGGCCAAGUGCGGUUGCAAAGCCGGAAUAUCAACGGGAAUGUCGGAAAAGUGGGAAAAGUCGACGGGCAGUCGGUCGCAUAAAUAAAAAGGCGACUGUAAGUGAUGGACUUUAUUUUUAAUAUUGGCCGCGAAGGCGAAGGCGAACGCGAGAUGAGAAUGCCAUCGCCGGCCUGAAUAUUAAGAAUAUUCGCAUCUUGGCUUGUGCGGGCUUAUUUUUUAAGCGAAACGAAAUGAAAUGGUUGGCUAUGAUGGUGGGCGAUGUCCUUAGAGCGCUAAUGAAAAUAUGUUCGAAAUGUAAAUUGAGACAUUCGACGGGCUUUGGGGUCCGGCUUUUACGAUAUCCGGCGCCUAAUGAAUUUGCCCAUCGCUCCGCUGACCCACAUCCAAAUGCCUACGGUGGGUCAUCUUAUCGCUCGUCCUGCGCCCAUCCAUCCAUCUAUGUGUGCAUGUAUAUCUAUAUAUUUGUAUCUGUAGUGUAUGUGGAGUAAGGUCGCCUGAAAGUGGAGUGGACAUUGCUUACCCUUUUCAAUUUGCUGAUAUUGUGGAAAAUGGGUCCCAGUGUGAUAAUCACAAGGAAUGCGGAAAUGGAAAGUGGAGGAGGACACAGGACAGAUAGGGAGUCAGGUCCCUUGUUAACUUGGUGUCUCCGUUUUUCUACCGCUGUCUGACCAAGCUUUAUACUACCCUGG